GACAAUACUUUGAACGUCAACAAGAAGUGACGUCACCCAACAUCGCUUAGAUCACCUUUAAAUGAGCAUCAGCAACCACCACUGUCUUUAACAGCUGAUCCUGUAUUGUUUUUCAAAGGCAAAAAAACUACAUAAAAAAUAUGUUCAGUAUGUUCAGAUUGGUUAAUACAGAAGUGGUUUCACAGAUAAGGUCAAAAGAUGUCAAACGCAUUUAAGCAAUGAAAAUCAGUUUUGCACACUGUACAGUCGUGGCCAAACGUUUUGAGAAUUACAUAAAUAUUGGGAAUUGGAAAAGUUGCUGCUUAAGUUUUUAUAAUAGCAAUUUGCAUAUACUCCAGAAUGUUAUGAAGAGUGAUCAGAUGAAUUGCAUAGUCAUUCUUUGCCAUGAAAAUUAACUUAAUCCCAAAAAAACCUUUCCACUGCAUUUCAUUGCUGUCAUUAAAGGACCUGCUGAGAUCAUUUCAGUAAUCGUCUUGUUAACUCAGGUGAGAAUGUUGACGAGCACAAGGCUGGAGAUCAUUAUGUCAGGCUUAGAAUGGCAGACUUGACAUGUUAAAAGGAGGGUGAUGCUUUAAAUCAUUGUUCUUCCAUUGUUAACCAUGGUGACCUGCAAAGAAACGCGUGCAGCCAUCAUUGCGUUGCAUAAAAAUGGCUUCACAGGCAAGGAUAUUGUGGCUACUAAGAUUGCACCUAAAUCAACAAUUUAUAGGAUCAUCAAGAACUUCAAGGAAAGAGGUUCAAUUCUUAUAAAGAAGGCUUCAGGGCAUUCAAGAAAGUCCAGCAAGCGCCAGGAUCAUCUCCUAAAGAGGAUUCAGCUGCGGGAUCGGAGCUUGCUCAGGAAUGGCAGCAGGCAUGUGUGAGCGCAUCUGCACGCACAGUGAGGCCAAGACUUUUGGAAGAUGGCCUGGUGUCAAGAAGGGUAGCAAAGAAGCCACUUCUCUCCAAAAAAAAACAUCAGGGACAGAUUGAUCUUCUGCAGAAAGUAUAGUGAAUGGACUGCUGAGGACUGGGCCAAAGUCAUAUUCUCCGAUGAAGCCCCUUUCCGAUUGUUUGGGGCAUCUAGAAAAAGGCUUGUCCGGAGAAGAAAAGGUCAACGCUACCAUCAGUCCUGUGUCAUGCCAACAGUAAGGCCGGGCAUACACUGUGUGAUUUUCAUCUGAUUUUGAGCCGAAUUCUGACUCAUGCGACUCUUUUUCAGGUCGGGACGAAUUUCAUCAUUUUCGUGCGUCGUUUGUCGUGCAGUGUACAAGGGGAAACGAGAGGCGAUAAGCCUCUCCCGACCGGCAAUCGGUUGGUCGGAUGGAUUUCUGACAUGUCAGAAAUUUUGGUCGCCUCUCGUGAGGUAUCGCACUGUUGAAGCAGGGCCACGAACCGAUUUUCCGUGUUUCCCUCACUGCGCAUGCGUGAAACCAUAAACGAAACCAUGGUGACACCUGACACAGCGUGUAGUGUCGACUGAAGUGAUGGAGGGAUAACUUGUGGAGUUAUGGCAAAGAAAAAUAAAUUUUAAAAAGAGGGAAAAAAAACGCCUGCUUCCCUCCAGUUCGCGUUGCAAAAUGGAUUGACCAUAUUGGCCACGUCUUCCCAGCCACCUGCGCGUCUAGAUACGACGACGCCUUUUUUUUUUUACGUUUCAGCACACAUAAUUGUGCAUAUCACCAAAGCAGUGCGUUUAUCCCGGGAAAGCAUGUUUAUUCUGAAACAACCACAAACAUCCGGGUUCUGAGGGAUCCUACGUGUUGAUUCGGUUGAUUCCUCACGUAUAGUGUGAGCAGUCAAAUCGCAACUCGACAAUCGGACCGUACAGUGAGCGCACAAAAAUCGUGAGCUUUGGCUUUACAUCGCAUGCGAUCUACACGUAUAGUGUGAGUUGGUACCUUGCCGAAAUCGCACAGAAAUUGCACAGUGUAUGCCCGCAUUAAAGCAUCCUGACACCAUUCAUGUAUGGGGUUGCUUCUCAUCCAAGGGAGUGGGCUCACUCACAAUUCUGCCCAAAAACACAGCAAUGAAUAAAGAAUGGUACCAAAACACCCUCCAACAGCAACUUCUUACAACAAUCCAGCAACAGUUUGGUGAAGAACAAUGGAUUCUCCAGCACGAUGGAGCUCCGUGCCAUAAGGCAAAAGUGAAAACUAAGUGGUUGAUUGAUUGCAUGCCCAGUCGAAUUGCAGAGGUCCUGAAAAAGAAGGGCCAACACUGCAAAUACUGACUCUUUGCAUAAAUGUCAUGUAAUUGUCGAUAAAAGCCUUUGAAACGUAUGAAGUGCUUGUAAUUAUAUUUCAGUACAUCACAGAAACAACUGAAACAAAGAUCUAAAAGCAGUUUAGCAGCAAACCUUUUGAAAACUAAUAUUUAUGGAAUUCUCAAAACCUUUGGCCACGACUGUACAGUUGAAGAAGCUUUAGUUUUUUGCCCAACAUGACCUCAGUCAUCAUCAAACUGAAGCACAAUCAUCUCUGCAGGUGAUAUUUACUUGCACAGUACCUGAUAGAUAGCCUGGUAAUACCAAACUUUCCUUUGCUUUGUAGACAGAAUCUGCAUAUCCGAAGGAAAACGGAAAGCUAUGACGCUUUCUCAGACUGAGUACAGAAGCGAAAUGAAAUCGAGUGGAAGUAUGAAAUCUGACGUAGUCAGGCUUCCUGAUGGAGCCGCUUAUACUGAAACACUGAUAUAGGAGAUGGGGAGUAGUUUCAGACGCAGCUGUAGUCUCACAAAUUCCUGUGGGAUAUCUAUGUUGGUCUUUUAAGGUCUAUAUAGUACAAAAACUUCUGUCAUAUGUUUUUUCAACUCUAUUUUUUAAAAUAGUUGCAGUUUAAACAAAGCAUUUUUAAAAUGUCAUUGUUAUGGGUUGUUUACAUUGACAUUGUUUUCAAAUUUACAGUUGAAGUAAAUAGACUUUUUGCAAGCUAUGUAGCAGAAGCCAGCAGGAGACCUUUAAGUCAUCGUAGUCGUUCUACAAGACCUCGCAGUAGCUUCACAAGAGUUUUCUGCUGCUUAAGUAGAAUGACACAAAGUGUUGCACCAACAAAGUUUGAAAGGGAGGAACUGAAAGCUACAGGACUACAAAAGGUUACAUUUCUUGGUGAUGUAAACAAUGCAGAAGAUUUAAAAAACUAGAUUAUAACGACAUAUCCAAAACUUGGUGACUGUGGGGGAUUUGAGAUUUUAAAAAUAUCAGGCAUGACCCGAUCUAGGAAUCUGGUGGUGUUGCCUUGCCCAAACACAGCGUACACAAUUAAGACUCUAAAAGAAAAUAUGGGACAUGCUGUCAUCUACAUACGUCCUAUGCAAAAAGACAUAGAACUGUCCAGUUCUGUAAGUUUUAUUUCUUUUAACACUACAGUAAAUUACUUAUUUGCUAAAUUCUAUGCUUAUUACAUUUUAGGCAACACAUGUUUUUAUCGUAAUGUACUAAGUUUAUUUAUUUUAUUAUUUUCAUUUACAGUUAUCUAAAAUUUUGAGAUUGCUUUUUACUUAAGGUUCACAUUGAGAGCUGCAGGUAUGGAGAACAUUGACUGGUCAUAAUCUUGAUUUAAUAUUCAGUUUCUUUUUAGGGAAACAAAAUUUAAUUUCAUGUUUUUGAAGGCCUAGGACUGAAUGUUCCAAUCACCUGCCACCAACAUUAGAGAACGAACACCUAAAUGCACAGACUUCAGACAGUGAUUCACUCAUCAACCAGUCACCCACUGAGGAAAAUACUGACCAGCUGUUCAUCGAUUUAACAGAUGAAAAAACGGACAUGGUAAAUUUCAAGUUUACAUUGUUAAGAGCUUGUGCUACAAUCAAACAUUUUCUUCUGCCAUAACUUCAGUUUGUAUGUUCACAAUAUUAGCAUUUCAAAACGCUUCUUAUUUUUCUAAAAAAAAUAAAAUAAAAUAAAAUUACUUGUAUAUAAUGUUCAUCAAACUGAAGAAGAGAGUGGUCUUGUGGAUCAUCCACAUUUAUUUGGUACAGGUUUUAUGGUAGAUGCUCUUAGGAGUGUCUUUAAUAUUUCUUAAUUCCUAUAGCAAAAUAUUGCCAGGAAUCUUUAAGUGAAUGGCGGAGGAUGCGUGAGGAGCAGGAUGAUGAAUAUAAUCAGUCUUUGAUAGCAGAUCAAGCCAAUGUAGGGUAAACUUUAUAACAGACAUCCUCUGAUGACAUUGUGUAAUCUUUCUGUCUGCAUUACAAUAUGAAUUCAUAAUUUGUUUCAGGAACUGCAGAAGAUGAAUAGCGAAGAAUCUGAGAAUAGACGCAGAAAGGCUAUAGAUGAGAGACGAGCGCAAAUCGCAAGUUUACCUGAACUUGCUCAUGGUGUGUCGCUAAAAGUAAAAUAUCUUGAAAAAAAGGAUUAAUGAGGACCAGGAAAUUUAUUUUAAGUGAAUCAAUUAAGGCACUGUUUGACUUCGUUGGAGAAGUGGAGGAUGCUACAGAAUGGUUCCAGAUUCAGGAAGCCUUAUCACCAACACUUACAAAUGACCUAUGUGGAACCAUUUCUGAAAGAAAUAUCAGACGGCCAACCACACUUUUUGUCCAGUGGAUUUCCUCCGAAGACGCAGAGACCAUUCUUGCACCUGAUGGCAAUGACAACCAUAAUAAAGAUGAUUAUAAUUCUGGGACUGUCAGCGCAUUGGAUCAACCUAGCACCUCUAAUGAACACCUGGCAUCGUUCUCCCCUCGUUCAGAGCAGGAAGAGACUGUCCAGAAGACCAAUCUUCAAACAAUACUGAGUCUCCUUUCAGCCAAGAUAGAUGAUGAUAGAUAGGCAAUACCCACAACAUACUGAGAAGCACUGUUCAGGCUUUUAGUCGGCGAUGAUUUAACCUCGGAGCUGGAUGUGAUUUUUGUUGAUGAUACAAAAGCAGCAGAGGGGUCUGUGGACGGUGGUGGUCCCACUAGAGAGUAGCUCAGAUUGCUCCUUAAGGCUGUCCAGCAGUCUAGCAUAUUUGUGUGCCCUGAAAAUAGUAAGAGGUUGCGGCUUCACA